CGGCCAACGGGCUGCCACACACACACACACGACCGGAUCGAAUCCGUUGCGUAUCGAACUACGUUCGAGUUCGAGCAGUGGGUCGAUCCGAGCCAUAGCCCAGCG
rnacentral:pre_miRNA from 15 species